rnacentral:rRNA from 1 species
UAGAGACCGGCGCACGGGUGCGUAACGCGUAUGCAAUCUACCUUUUACAGAGGGAUAGCCCAGAGAAAUUUGGAUUAAUACCUCAUAGUAUAGCUCUACCGCAUGGUAGUACUAUUAAAGUCACAACGGUAAAAGAUGAGCAUGCGUCCCAUUAGCUAGUUGGUAAGGUAACGGCUUACCAAGGCAACGAUGGGUAGGGGUCCUGAGAGGGAGAUCCCCCACACUGGUACUGAGACACGGACCAGACUCCUACGGGAGGCAGCAGUGAGGAAUAUUGGUCAAUGGGCGCAAGCCUGAACCAGCCAUGCCGCGUGCAGGAUGACGGUCCUAUGGAUUGUAAACUGCUUUUGUACAGGAAGAAACACUCCCUCGUGAGGGAGCUUGACGGUACUGUAAGAAUAAGGAUCGGCUAACUCCGUGCCAGCAGCCGCGGUAAU